UUUCCACAACCUUAUCCUCCCAUUUGGAUCAACCACAGAGGAGAAGAGAGAGGGAAGUAUGCAGCCUAUAUAAGAUCCAAGCGUGAACAGAGAACGGCAUUCUUCGGAGCCGACUAAUCCCAUUCAUCCUUCGGAGGAAUUCCCAUAGGAGAUAAAAGAGGAAGGAGGGAACCAGAGGACGGAGGAAGACAGGAAGAAAUGGAAGCUCUCGGUGCUGCCACUGUUCAACUUUUCAUGGAGGGCUAAACUUUCCACUAGGGCCGGAUGCAACCCUAACAAAGGGAGACGGGUUUUAUAUUUUAUUCUAUAUUCUUGGGGUUGUAUAAACUUAUUGUUUUCAAUAGAUAUCUUCUUUUGAAUCAUAUUUAAUUUCUGUGAUUUUAAGUAUGAUGUUCGUACAACUGUUCUUCAUGAUCACUAAGUAAAUAUAAGAUAGUCCAUGCUUAGGGAAGAUGCGAUGUGCUGCCACCUUAGAUUAGGGUAGACAUUUCAUGCCAACCGAAGAUGGAUUAUGCCCAAAUUACUUUUGUGAAUUUUUAUUUAAAUGCUUAUUAGGCUUGUAGCCAAUUUGCAUGUUAAUCCAAGAACGA
rnacentral:lncRNA from 1 species